rnacentral:pre_miRNA from 1 species
UCUUAUGGAUGAGCAAAGAAAGUGGCUUCUUGAGAUGGAAUCAAUUCCUGGUGAAGCUGCUGUGAA